AGAGUUUGAUCCUGGCUCAGAACGAACGCUGGCGGCAUGCCUAACACAUGCAAGUCGAACGAAGCCUUCGGGCUUAGUGGCGCACGGGUGCGUAACGCGUGGGAAUCUGCCCUUGGCUUCGGAAUAACAGUUAGAAAUGACUGCUAAUACCGGAUGAUGUCUUCGGACCAAAGAUUUAUCGGCCAGGGAUGAGUCCGCGUAGGAUUAGGUAGUUGGUGGGGUAAAGGCCUACCAAGCCGACGAUCCUUAGCUGGUCUGAGAGGAUGAUCAGCCACACUGGGACUGAGACACGGCCCAGACUCCUACGGGAGGCAGCAGUGGGGAAUAUUGGACAAUGGGCGCAAGCCUGAUCCAGCAAUGCCGCGUGAGUGAUGAAGGCCUUAGGGUCGUAAAGCUCUUUUACCAGGGAUGAUAAUGACAGUACCUGGAGAAUAAGCUCCGGCUAACUCCGUGCCAGCAGCCGCGGUAAUAAU
rnacentral:rRNA from 1 species